AGGGGUGUAGUUCAGCGGUAGAGCAACAGUCUCCAAAACUGUAAACGGGGGUUCGAUCCCCUCCACCCCUG
rnacentral:tRNA from 1 species